GAGAACCAGGCAUCUAACAAAUUAAAGGUGGUUUGGCAGGAAGCCACCUCCUGAGUGCCCUGUUUUUAACAGAAGGUCCCUUGUCACAGACACAGAAUGCAGACGCACAGAAAGAGGAGCAGCUCCUGGCUGGCCAGGAAGUAGCCGAGCUGGCCUUGACGCACCAAGCUUCUCCCCUCUCAUGGGUGAGCACAGGAGGCUCCCUUGGGAUGAGUUCUUCCUCCAGGGCCCUAGAUUAUCUCCUGCCAAGGCCAAAGUCAGAACCACCUCCAUCCAUCAGCAAGAUGUAAGGGAGGGAAGCUGCUGCUGCUGCUGCUGCUAAGUCGCUUCAGUCGUGUCCGACUCUGUGCAACCCCAUAGACAGCAGCCCACCAGGCUUCCCUGUCCCUGGGAUUCUCCAGGCAAGAACACUGGAGUGGGCUGCCAUCUCCCUCUCCAAUGCAUGAAAGUGAGAAGUAAAAGUGAAGUCACUCAGUCGUGUCUGACUCUUAGCGACCCCAUGGACUGCAGCCUACCAGGCUCCUCCUUCCAUGGGAUUUUCCAGGCAAAAGUACUGGAGUGGGGUGCCAUUGCCUUCUCCGUUUUUCCAAAGCAUAAUAUAUUUAUUUCAAAGAAAUAUAGUAAGGUGAUUAAUAAGAAAUGCUCUUGUAGUAAAACUAUUACAUUGGGAUAAAAUUCUGUGGGGAGGAAGUAUAUGGA
ensembl:lncRNA